CCCAAGGCGAAACCGCGAAUGGCUCAUUAAAUCAGCCCUGAUUUAUUUGAUGUUGUAAAACCCUUACUUGGAUAACUGUGGCAAUUCUAGAGCUAAUACAUGCACCUGAGCUCCGACCCUGCCCGUCAAAAGGCGGGGGAAGGGCGCUUUUAUUAGAUCAAAAACCGAUCGGACUUCGGUCCGUCUCCCAAAACGAUUUGUGAUGAUUCUAAAUAACUUAGCCGAGCGCUGAGGUCCUAGUACCGGCGCCGUAUCUUUCAAGUGUCUGCCUUAUCAGCUGUCGACUGUAGGCCAUACGCCUACAAUGGCUGUAACGGGUAACGGGGAAUCAGGGUUCGAUUCCGGAGAGGGAGCCUGAGAAACGGCUACCACAUCUAAGGAAGGCAGCAGGCACGCAAAUUACCCACUCCCGGCUCGGGGAGGUAGUGACGUAAAAUAACGAUGCGGGACUCUUCCGAGGCCUCGCAAUCGGAAUGAGU
rnacentral:rRNA from 1 species